rnacentral:rRNA from 1 species
AGUGAACGCUGGCGGUAGGCCUAACACAUGCAAGUCGAACGGCAGCACAGUAAGAGCUUGCUCUUACGGGUGGCGAGUGGCGGACGGGUGAGGAAUACAUCGGAAUCUACUUUUUCGUGGGGGAUAACGUAGGGAAACUUACGCUAAUACCGCAUACGACCUACGGGUGAAAGCAGGGGAUCUUCGGACCUUGCGCGAUUGAAUGAGCCGAUGUCGGAUUAGCUAGUUGGCGGGGUAAAGGCCCACCAAGGCGACGAUCCGUAGCUGGUCUGAGAGGAUGAUCAGCCACACUGGAACUGAGACACGGUCCAGACUCCUACGGGAGGCCGCAGUGGGGAAUAUUGGACAAUGGGCGCAAGCCUGAUCCAGCCAUACCGCGUGGGUGAAGAAGGCCUUCGGGUUGUAAAGCCCUUUUGUUGGGAAAGAAAAGCAGCAGGUUAAUACCCCGCCGUUCUGACGGUACCCAAAGAAUAAGCACCGGCUAACUUCGUG